UCGUGUAGGUGGCGUACCGCAUCGUACCUGAAAGCCCGAGGCUUAACCUCGGCGUUGGGUACGAGAUGGGUACUCUUGAGGGUGGCAGAGGGAAGGGGAACCGACGGUGGAGCAGUGAAAUGCGUUGAUAUCGUCAGGAACACCGAAGGCGAAGGCACCUUUCUGGGCCACUCCUGACACUGAGACACGAAAGCUAGGGGAGCGAAGCAGAUUAGAGACCUGCGUAGUCCUAGCCUUAAACGCAUGUCUGCUAGAUGGUCCCCGUUCGGGGACUGUCGCAAGCUAACGCGUUAAGCAGACCGCCUGGGGAGUACGAUCGCAAGAUUAAA
rnacentral:rRNA from 1 species